UGGGGAAUAUUGCACAAUGGGCGCAAGCCUGAUGCAGCCAUUCCGCGUGUGUGAAGAAUUCCUUCGGGUUGUAAAGCACUUUCAGCGGGGAGGAAGGCGUUAAUGUUAAUAACCUUUGCGAUUGACUUUACCCGCAGAAGAAGCACCUGCUAACUCCGUGCCAGCAGCCGCGGUAAUACGGAUGGUGCAAGCGUUAAUCGGAAUUACUGGGCGUAAGGCGCACGCAGGCGGUCUGUCAAGUCGGAUGUGAAAUCCCCGGGCUCAACCUAGGAACUGCAUUCGAAACUGGCAGGCUAGAGUCUUGUAGAGGGGGGUGGAAUUCCCGGUGUGGCUGUGAAAUGCGUGGAGAUCUGGAGGAUUUCCAGUGACAAGGGCGGCCCCCUGGACAAAGACUAGCGCUCAGGUGCGAAAGCGUGGAGAGCAAACAGG
rnacentral:rRNA from 1 species